rnacentral:rRNA from 1 species
CGCGUGUGUGAAGAAGGCCUUCGGGUUGUAAAGCACUUUCAGUGAGGAAGAAAGCCUUGAGGCUAAUACCCUUGAGGGAGGACAUCACUCACAGAAGAAGCACCGGCUAACUCCGUGCCAGCAGCCGCGGUAAUACGGAGGGUGCGAGCGUUAAUCGGAAUUACUGGGCGUAAAGCGCGCGUAGGCGGCUUGAUAAGCCGGUUGUGAAAGCCCCGGGCUCAACCUGGGAACGGCAUCCGGAACUGUCAGGCUAGAGUGCAGGAGAGGAAGGUAGAAUUCCCGGUGUAGCGGUGAAAUGCGUAGAGAUCGGGAGGAAUACCAGUGGCGAAGGCGGCCUUCUGGACUGACACUGACGCUGAGGUGCGAAAGCGUGGGUAGCAAACAGGAUUAGAUACCCUGGUAGUCCACGCCGUAAACGAUGUCGACUAGCCGUUGGGCUCCUUGAGAGCUUUGUGGCGCAGUUAACGCGAUAAGUCGACCGCCUGGGGAGUACGGCCGCAAGGUUAAAACUCAAAUGAAUUGACGGGGGCCCGCACAAGCGGUGGAGCAUGUGGUUUAAUUCGAUGCAACGCGAAGAACCUUACCUACCCUUGACAUCGAGAGAACUUUCCAGAGAUGGAUUGGUGCCUUCGGGAACUCUCAGACAGGUGCUGCAUGGCUGUCGUCAGCUCGUGUUGUGAAAUGUUGGGUUAAGUCCCGUAACGAGCGCAACCC